UUAUCCUUCUCACAAAAUCCUAGAAUUAUAGGAUCACAGAUGCAUUCAUAGAAUCACAGACCCAAAGAAUCUGAGAAUUAAGGAAUUGCUCAGAAAGACUUAUAACCACAUUCACAGCAUGCCUGGACCAUAGAAACACAGAAUGAUUCCGAGAAAUGUGAGGCUGAAUUAGACACUCUGGAACCAGAAUCUUAGCACAGGAAGCGACCUGAGUCCAGCCCCCUCCAGUAAUCAGGAUGUGCUCUCUUCUUUAUCCUACCGCCCCACUGCCAGUGCAACCAGUAAGGUUCCAGUGCCUCCGGAAUUGAGGUACACAGGAAAGGGGUCCUGUAUCCUGCUGUCCCCAGCAUGGAUGGAAAGGGAAUCGGAAGCGCUUUUCCAGGCAUGAGAGCUGGAGGAGGCUGGGGCUGCCCAUCUGCCAGCGGUGGCCAGCGGUGACCAGCAGUGACCAGUGGUGGCUAGCAUGCCUGGCUCCCGGAAUCCCCGCCAGGGCGGCGCAGGGGGACAGAGCACAGCAGAACCGGCUCACGGGAACGGGCUUGUGGCUGGCCUUCUCUUCCCCCUUUCCAAUCUGAUUAGGACAUUUUAAUAGCCGUGUUGAGGGAUUACAGCAUAAAAU
rnacentral:lncRNA from 1 species